rnacentral:misc_RNA from 1 species
AACCUAGCACACCUGCGGUGUGUACCUGCGGAAGGAUCAUUAAAAUAUUACUAGUUAGCUUUGGAGAUUCCUCCAGAGUUAAUUAUGUAUUUCAAUCACUUGUUUACUUAUACCUGUUGCUUCCGUGAAAAUUAGGGUGCCUGCACUAUUCGUAGUUGUAGGUUACCUUUCACGGGUGUUUUUAAAAAAAUUUGUUUUGAAUGACUUGUCUGAUUAUUAGUUUUAAAUAAAGUUAAAACU